AUCGCCUGACCCCCGCGGUAUCUCGUGGGUAACCUGCCUGUAAGACUGGGAUAACUCCGGGAAACCGGAGCUAAUACCGGAUAACACCGAGGACCUCAUGGUUCUUGGUUGAAAGAUGGCUUCGGCUGUCACUUACAGAUGGGCCCGCGGCGCAUUAGCUAGUUGGUGAGGUAACGGCUCACCAAGGCGACGAUGCGUAGCCGACCUGAGAGGGUGAUCGGCCACACUGGGACUGAGACACGGCCCAGACUCCUACGGGAGGCAGCAGUAGGGAAUCUUCCGCAAUGGACGAAAGUCUGACGGAGCAACGCCGCGUGAGCGAUGAAGGUUUUCGGAUCGUAAAACUCUGUUGUUAGGGAAGAACAAGUACCGGAGUAACUGCCCGUACCUUGACGGUACCUGACCCGAAAGCCCCGGGUAACUACGUGCCCGCCCGCCGCGGUAA
rnacentral:rRNA from 1 species